AUCGCCAUGGUAACUGGCCACAGCUGGGAAGGGGGCCCGCCACGCGUGGGGCAGCCGCAGUGCAGGCCGCGCGCUGCUCCGAGCUGCGGUUCCAGCGGCACCGCUUCGAGAACAGCCAUGCUGCGUGCGGAGCGGCGGCGUGCGGCCGGGGGGCAGGGGACCGAAGCGCCGUCAGGAGCGGCUUUUUCUGUAUCACUGAUGUAUCUCCAGUUGCAUCUGACCAGCGGUGGAGCUCUUCCUUUGCAGAAUGGAGCCAGUCUGUGAAUUCAUGCACUGCAUCAAGGUACACAGGUCCCAAUUGUAUCAAUCACUACAAGCCUGCAGUGGGAAAAACCAUCCUAAGAGCAGCAUUAAAAGAAAAGGCUGUCAGGAAUGAGGAGUGAGAUCUUCUGUACAGUUCAUAUUCACUUCAGAGGAUCAUCCAGAUUCCCUCCCUGUGGCUUUGACAUUUGGAGGAAACAAAAAGCCAAAGUAGUUUCUUAAAAAAAGUAAGAUAUUUUAUUUAUUAAUUUUUUUUUGGAGUCAUUUGGAAAUCACAACAUUGGUUCCCACUGAUUUUUCAAACAUACUUUUCACACCUUGGAAGUUCAGAAAAAUUUGAUCAGACGGAACUUUUACUUAUUUAGAAAACCUAAAAGAUCUUCACAAACUGACAUUAACUGUAGAAUCUGAAGUCAGAAAUCUUUCUCUGUACUGGACUGUUUUCCAAACAGAUCUGUUCUGCCUUCUAAGUGAAGGAGGUACCAAAUUUCUCCUAAUCUUUCUUUUUACUGUGGAAGUCGUAAAGCAGUAAAGUCACUGAGAUCCCACAGAACUAAAGGGUUUGCUAGAUUCUGAGAAGUUCUAUUUAUUGGCCAGAAACUUGUCAUGAUUUCAGUAGUUCCAGUAUCUCAUUAUCGUUUGGACCUCAGGCAUCUGCAACAUUUUUCUGCAAAUUCAGUGCAUGCUUGAUACCUUAAUGAUUGGAAACCACCGCAGUAUUUCCUUUAUUGUUUCAGCAUAAAAGACACACAAAUCAAUAUUAAAAUCAAGUUAUAUAUACAACAGUUGAUUGACUUUGCCAAUGUUAAUUAAGAUGAUUUUAGAAAACUAUCUUUUGUCUCUAAAAAUAUUGACAUUUUGAUAUUCACUAAGACACACUCCAAUCCUGUAAAAAAAAAGAAACCAACAACCAUCCAAUCAAAUAAAAACAAACCAAAUGUAAUGCUGUCAGUAAUUUUUUGACUGCUAGUUGCACAGAAAACAAUUUUUUCUUGUUGAAUACUUGCAGUUUAUCUAAAAGUAACAGUAGGAAGCUUGUGAAGCCAUGAUUCAUGUCAUUUUGUGUGACAUUGUAAAUGGAGGUUUCUUGUUUUCCUCAUA